CGAAAGCCUGACGGAGCAAGACCGCGUGAGGGAGGAAGGCUCUUGGGUUGUAAACCUCUUUUCUCAGGGAAGAAGCUCUGACGGUACCUGAGGAAUAAGCCUCGGCUAACUCCGUGCCAGCAGCCGCGGUAAUACGGAGGAGGCAAGCGUUAUCCGGAAUUAUUGGGCGUAAAGCGUCCGCAGGUGGCUUAACAAGUCUGCUGUCAAAGACCGAAGCUUAACUUCGGGCAGGCGGUGGAAACUGUUAGGCUAGAGACCGGUAGGGGUAGAGGGAAUUCCCAGUGUAGCGGUGAAAUGCGUAGAGAUUGGGAAGAACACCAGUGGCGAAGGCGCUCUACUGGGCCGGUACUGACACUCAGGGACGAAAGCUAGGGGAGCG
rnacentral:rRNA from 1 species